rnacentral:rRNA from 1 species
ACACUGGGACUGAGACACGGCCCAGACUCCUACGGGAGGCAGCAGUGGGGAAUAUUGCACAAUGGGCGAAAGCCUGAUGCAGCGACGCCGCGUGAGGGAUGACGGCCUUCGGGUUGUAAACCUCUUUCAGCAGGGAAGAAGCGAAAGUGACGGUACCUGCAGAAGAAGCGCCGGCUAACUACGUGCCAGCAGCCGCGGUAAUACGUAGGGCGCAAGCGUUGUCCGGAAUUAUUGGGCGUAAAGAGCUUGUAGGUGGCUUGUCGCGUCUGCCGUGAAAACCCGAGGCUCAACCUCGGGCGUGCGGUGGGUACGGGCAGGCUAGAGUGUGGUAGGGGAGACUGGAACUCCUGGUGUAGCGGUGAAAUGCGCAGAUAUCAGGAAGAACACCGAUGGCGAAGGCAGGUCUCUGGGCCAUUACUGACACUGAGAAGCGAAAGCAUGGGGAGCGAACAGGAUUAGAUACCCUGGUAGUCCAUGCCGUAAACGUUGGGCACUAGAUGUGGGGAACAUUCCACGUUUUCCGCGUCGUAGCUAACGCAUUAAGUGCCCCGCCUGGGGAGUACGGCCGCAAGGCUUAAACUCAAAGGAAUUGACGGGGGCCCGCACAAGCGGCGGAGCAUGCGGAUUAUUCGAUGCACGCGAAGAACUUACCAGGCUUGACUGCCCGGACGACCCAGAGAUGGGGUUUCUUCGGAUGGUGCCAGGUGGUGCUGGUUGCGUCGCUCGUGCCUGAGAUUUGGGUAAGUCCGCACGAGCGCACCCUCGUUCAU